AACGAACGCUGGCGGCAGGCCUAACACAUGCAAGUCGAGCGGGGGAGGUUGCUUCGGUAACUGACCUAGCGGCGGACGGGUGAGUAAUGCUUAGGAAUCUGCCUAUUAGUGGGGGACAACAUCUCGAAAGGGAUGCUAAUACCGCAUACGUCCUACGGGAGAAAGCAGGGGACCUUCGGGCCUUGCGCUAAUAGAUGAGCCUAAGUCGGAUUAGCUAGUUGGUGGGGUAAAGGCCUACCAAGGCGACGAUCUGUAGCGGGUCUGAGAGGAUGAUCCGCCACACUGGGACUGAGACACGGCCCAGACUCCUACGGGAGGCAGCAGUGGGGAAUAUUGGACAAUGGGGGGAACCCUGAUCCAGCCAUGCCGCGUGUGUGAAGAAGGCCUUUUGGUUGUAAAGCACUUUAAGCGAGGAGGAGGCUACUGGUAUUAAUACUACUGGAUAGUGGACGUUACUCGCAGAAUAAGCACCGGCUAACUCUGUGCCAGCCGCCGCAGUAAGAC
rnacentral:rRNA from 1 species